UUUCUAUAUUGUUUUUUUCAGCAGGUUCAGUUGGAGGGUGGAGCUGUGUGCUGCCUCUCACACCUGUGAGCCAUUAGGCUCAUUAUGGCAGCCUUUUAAGGAGAGGGUUGCUGAGUGUCGUCCUUUGUGGUACCUCAAGCCCAGUAUCCUGUUUCUGACUUGUAAAUCUUCUGAGAUAUUCUUGUAGUCUAAGCUCUGUUCUUUCUUUAAGGUGCCUCCCUGGAUCCUUCUGGUGGUUCCAGUGUAACCUGAUCUCGUUCACCUCCUGAGUUUCCCUGUUCGGAUUACAGGCUUGCCGCCACCGGGUUCUAGACGCUCAGUCACCUAAACCUGUCCGCCCUCCAACGAACUGCUUACCUCUGGAAAACACAGACCUUCUAUCCAAGAACUGACCUCCCCUCCCGGACUCCUAUUUCCGCCUGCAACAUGGAUGUACCGCCGGAGCCGCCCAGAAUUCCUCAAUCAUGUUAUAUCCCUUCUAAAUAAAUAUCUUAAACUUCA